AACGAACGCUGGCGGCAUGCCUAACACAUGCAAGUCGAACGAAGCCUUCGGGCUUAGUGGCGCACGGGUGCGUAACGCGUGGGAAUCUGCCCUUGGGUUCGGAAUAACAGUUAGAAAUGACUGCUAAUACCGGAUGAUGUCUUCGGACCAAAGAUUUAUCGCCCAAGGAUGAGCCCGCGUAGGAUUAGGUAGUUGGUGGGGUAAUGGCCCACCAAGCCGACGAUCCUUAGCUGGUCUGAGAGGAUGAUCAGCCACACUGGGACUGAGACACGGCCUAGACUCCUACGGGAGGCAGCAGUGGGGAAGAUUGGACAAUGGGCGAAAGCCUGAUCCAGCAAUGCCGCGUGAGUGAUGAAGGCCUUAGGGUUGUAAAGCUCUUUUACCAGGGAUGAUAAUGACAGUACCUGGAGAAUAAGCUCCGGCUAACUCCGUGCCAGCCGCCGCAGUAA
rnacentral:rRNA from 1 species